rnacentral:tRNA from 2 species
GCUAAUGUAGCUCAGUUGGCUAGAGCAGCUGAUUUGUAAUCAGCCGGUCGGGGGUUCAAGUCCCUCUAUUAGCA